rnacentral:rRNA from 1 species
AAGCUCGUAGUUGAAUUUCGAGCUUGACAAACGGUCUUGGCUCUGCCUAGUACUGUUCUGUUGAGCUCUUCCUUCUAGGGAACUAGAGUGCCUUUAAUUGGGUGUUUUAGGGAACUAGGACUUUUACUGUGAAAAAAUUAGAGUGUUCAAAGCAGGCUUACGCUUGAAUACAUUAGCAUGGAAUGAUAGAAUAGGACUUUGGUUCUAUUUUGUUGGUUUCUAAGACCAAAGUAAUGAUUAAUAGGGAUAGUUGGG